rnacentral:rRNA from 1 species
CCUACGGGAGGCAGCAGUGAGGAAUAUUGGUCAAUGGCCGGAAGGCUGAACCAGCCAUGCCGCGUGAAGGUCAGUGCCCUAUGGGCGUUAAACUUCUUUUGUGCGGGAGCAAUAAUGGUCACGUGUGGCCAGACGAGAGUACCGUACGAAUAAGCAUCGGCUUACUCCGUGCCAGCAGCCGCGGUAAUACGGGGGAUGCAAGCGUUAUCCGGAUUUGUUGGGUUUAAAGGGUGCGUAGGCUGGUAGGUAAGGUAGAGGGUGAAUUCCCCCGCUCAACGGGGUGAAGUGCCAUUGAUACGGCCUUGCUGGAGUGCGGAUGCCGUAGGAGGAAUGUGUGGUGUAGCGGUGAAAUGCAUAGAUAUCACACAGAACACCGAUUGCGAAGGCAUCUCACGAAUCCGCGAUUGACGCUGAUGCACGAAAGCGUGGGUAUCAAACAGGAUUAGAUACCCUUGUAGUC